rnacentral:rRNA from 1 species
CACGGGGGGAGCAAGCGUUGUUCGGAAUCACUGGGCGUAAAGGGCGUGUAGGCGGUCAGGUAAGUGGAAUGUGAAAGCCCCCGGCUCACCCGGGGAUCUGCAUCCCAAACUGCCUGGCUUGAGUACGGGAGAGGAUGAGGGAAUUCCUGGUGUAGCGGUGAAAUGCGUAGAUAUCAGGAGGAACACCGGUGGCGAAGGCGCUCAUCUGGCCCGAUACUGACGCUGAGGCGCGAAAGCUAGGGGAGCAAACGGG